rnacentral:rRNA from 1 species
CAUGAGGACGAGCGGCAGACCGCUCAGUAACACGUAGCUAACCUACCCUCAGGACGUGGAUACCCCCGGGAAACUGGGGCUAAUCCGCGAUAGGUGUGGAGGCCUGGAAUGGUUCCACGCCCAAAGGCACAGCGAUCAUGUUUGUUGUGUGCCUGAGGAUGGGGCUGCGGCCGAUCAGGCAGUUGGCGAGGUAACGGCUCACCAAACCUUUGACCGGUACGGGCCAUGAAAGUGGUAGCCCGGAGAUGGGCACUGAGACAGGGGCCCAGGCCCUACGGGGCGCAGCAGGCGCGAAACCUCCACAAUGUACGUAAGUACGAUGGGGUUAUCUCGAGUGCAGUCCGAUAAGGGUUGCUUUUCCAUAGAGUAAUAUCCUGUGGGAAUAAGAGGGGGGCAAGACUGGUGUCAGCCGCCGCGGUAACACCAGCCCCUCGAGUGGUGGGGACUAUUAUUUGGCCUAAAGCGUCCGUAGCUGGCUGUAUCCGUCUCCCGUUAAAUCCAGCGUCCUAAGCGUUGGACCGCGGGUGAUACCAUACAGCUAGAGGGUGGGAUAGGUGAGCGGUAUUUCUGGGGUAGGGGCGAAAUCCUUUGAUCCCAGGAGGACCACCAGUGGCGAAAGCUGCUCACUAGAACACGCCUGACGGUCAGGGACGAAAGCUGGGGCAGCGAACCGGAUUAGAUACCCGGGUAGUCCCAGCUGUAAACGAUGCUAGCUAGUGUUGGGUCGGCCACGCGCCGCCCAGUGCGCAGGAAGCCGUUAAGCUAGCGCCUGGGGAGUACG